rnacentral:rRNA from 1 species
AGAAUCAACGCUGGCGGCGUGCCUAACACAUGCAAGUCGCACGAGAAAGGGACUUCGGUCCUGAGUACAGUGGCGCACGGGUGAGUAACACGUGAAUCAUCUACCUUCGAGUGGGAAUAACUGAGAGAAAUCUUAGCUAAUACCGCAUAAUACCUACGGGUCAAAGCAGCAAUGCGCUUGAAGAGGAGUUCGCGGCAGAUUAGUUAGUUGGCGGGUAAUGGCCCACAAGACGAUGAUCUGUA